UAGGGAAUCUUCGGCAAUGGGGGCAACCCUGACCGAGCAACGCCGCGUGAGUGAAGAAGGUUUUCGGAUCGUAAAGCUCUGUUGUAAGUCAAGAACGAGUGUGAGAGUGGAAAGUUCACACUGUGACGGUAGCUUACCAGCAAGUCACGGCUAACUACGUGCCAGCAGCCGCGGUAAUACGUAGGUGGCAAGCGUUGUCCGGAUUUAUUGGGCGUAAAGGGAACGCAGGCGGUCUUUUAAGUCUGAUGUGAAAGCCUUCGGCUUAACCGAAGUAGUGCAUUGGAAACUGGAAGACUUGAGUGCAGAAGAGGAGAGUGGAACUCCAUGUGUAGCGGUGAAAUGCGUAGAUAUAUGGAAGAACACCAGUGGCGAAAGCGGCUCUCUGGUCUGUAACUGACGCUGAGGUUCGAAAGCGUGGGUAGCAAACAGGAUUAGAUACCCUGGUAGUCCACGCCGUAAACGAUGAAUGCUAGGUGUUGGAGGGUUUCCGCCCUUCAGUGCCGCAGCUAACGCAAUAAGCAUUCCGCCUGGGGAGUACGACCGCAAGGUUG
rnacentral:rRNA from 1 species